CCUACGGGAGGCAGCAGUGGGGAAUUUUGGACAAUGGGCGCAAGCCUGAUCCAGCCAUGCCGCGUGCAGGAUGAAGGCCUUCGGGUUGUAAACUGCUUUUGUACGGAACGAAAAGUCUCUUUCUAAUAAAGAGGGAUCAUGACGGUACCGUAAGAAUAAGCACCGGCUAACUACGUGCCAGCAGCCGCGGUAAUACGUAGGGUGCGAGCGUUAAUCGGAAUUACUGGGCGUAAAGCGUGCGCAGGCGGUUAUAUAAGACAGUUGUGAAAUCCCCGGGCUCAACCUGGGAACUGCAUCUGUGACUGUAUAGCUAGAGUACGGUAGAGGGGGAUGGAAUUCCGCGUGUAGCAGUGAAAUGCGUAGAUAUGCGGAGGAACACCGA
rnacentral:rRNA from 1 species